rnacentral:misc_RNA from 1 species
AGGAUGGAAGGGAUUGUUGUGAGAAGAGUUAUACCGGCGGAUAAUAGCUGCCUCUUCAAUGCGGUUGGAUAUGUCAUGGAUCACGACAAACAUAAAGCUCAAGAACUGAGACAGGUUAUAGCUGCAUCAGUAGCGAGUGAUCCCGAUAAAUAUAGUGAAGCAUUUCUUGGGAAAAGCAAUGAAGAGUAUUGUGCUUGGAUUCUGAAUCCUGAAAAAUGGGGAGGU